rnacentral:misc_RNA from 1 species
CAGUCGUAACAAGGUUUUCCCGUAGGUGAACGCCGGAAGGAAGAUUAUCAUUUAGUAGCCUAGCUGCUAUCAGUGGGGUUCGCUAGCCUGCAUAGCUUAAUCGCUGAUGAGCAGCAGACCCCCUGUUUGUACCCUUGUUUUUUUGCGUACCAAAGUUUCCUCGGCGGGCUUGCUCGCCGGAUGGACAAUACUAUAACCUUUUUAAUAUUCAAUCAGCGUCUGAAAAACUUGAAUAAUUACAA